CAUCCGGGUUGAUUUAUUGAUCUUAAUUGUGAGAAGACAUGAAAUGCUUUGAUAGGGAUUUUUAUAUGAUGACAUAAACAUUUCAUGCAUUUCUGUGCCAUUGAACACUUGAACCCCCAAGAAAAUGACGCGUACCAUUUCGACAAAAAUUUUCCAGUUAUAAGUUGUUAACAUUUUGGUUACAUUUUUUGUCGAUAUCUAUAGCUCGUUCUGACAUUGUCUGAGUAAAAGUGACAUGAAGUAAAUGUCAAAAUUUAGAACAUGACCUUGACUUUUGACCUUUGACCUUGACCUCAUUUUCUAUGUUAGGAGUAAAAGAUCUCAAUUAAAAAGAGUCUCGGUUUAUACCGCCUACGGUUUAUGAAUUACAAAAACAUAACGACAAAUUUUAUUGGUAAAUGUAGACAAAUCCUAGAAGAUGUCACUGGAUCGCUUCGAUCAAGAUCAGCCAAAAAUUCCUGAGAAUGUAAUGAACAAAUAGGGAAAAAAAAUUGUCGUUAUCUUUCUUGGUUACGGAGAGGAUACACUAACAAGAAAACAGUGUUUGGGGAGACAAUGCUAAAAAUAAAAAGUCUUCGACUAAACAGACUCAAUUUUAAAAGCGCAAUAACUGUUCGAUAGCAUAUGCAAAAAUAUAUAAGCGACAUCUUGCGAAACCGGGAGCAUGUCAUAAACACUGUACGAACAAUAAACAAAAGAAAAAAGGACACACUUAAAGGCAUAUAUAUUACUCCACAAUUUCCAGACGAUAUGCGUUAAAACAGAAAAAGGCUGAUACAAAAACAAAAGGAGUAUGAUAUAGAUGUAGACACAAAAAAAUAAAAGGAAACAGUCUAUUAUUCAGUAAAAGUGGAACUAAAUAUAUGGAAAAAGUGUCAACACCAAAAGCAAAUUAAAUGUUUGAUGCUACUAGUUUGGUCUAUUUGAACAAACUAGUACCAAUAAAGUUAACGACAAUUGUCACACUUAUUGUGUCACAGCUGCUAUCACCACAACAUAUCCAGAAGUUCGUGAAGCUGUCCGACAAAUAAUGCAGGGCCCAGUAUCAGCAUGCACAUACAACACAUUGGUUUAUAGAUUUACGGACAAAGACGGACAUACACACGAUGGGUACGAUGACGGCAGAGACUACGGAAUUGGAUCAAGAAUACUUGACUAUCUAGAAGAAAUAGAUGCAUCCGUAAUUGCUAUUAUCUCCUCACGUACACCGCCACCAGUUACAGCAAAGAUAGGUUCAAGAAAUACACAAUAUUAUCUUGGAGGGAGUAAUGUCGGUUCUCCGCAAAAAGUAGAAAACAGAAUUUUAUACCAAUAAACUGUUGUCUGAACUUAUUUUGUUAGCAAAGUUAGGUAAUACACAUGUAGUAAAGCAUGCUGAAUGCCAUUUUUUCAUGUUUAUAAUUUGUAAGACAUUGUAUAUUUAAUUUCGUGUAUUCUCUUAUCAACAUGUUCAAAGUCUAUUAACUAUUUUCAAAGUAUCUAGAGUUUAAAUUUUAUUUAUUAAUUUCACUACUAUCUAUCAAGUGUUAGCGAAUUUAUAAAUCCCCAAACUUCAAAUGAAAAUUAUUUCGGUCAUUUGUAGAUAAAACUACAGUACAACCUGUGACAUUCUCUUAAUUAUGUCCACCCUCUUGUAUGGUCAACAUCAAAUGGUGACCAUUUAUUGGGGUAUUAAAUCUUGAGAUGUUGGACUUUUAUUGGGUUCAUAAAACAAUAGGUUGGUGUUUAAUCUUAUUAUGUUAUCUGUUGAAAUCAAUCAGGGUUGAAAUUUUCAGCUUGUAUGUUUCCUUAAAAAUUUACCUGUACAGGUAACUCGUGUUUCUUUUAAAAAUGACAUUUUAACCUAUUGUUGAAAUUGUAAAAUAAAAUGUUUUAGUCUUUGUUAAUUUUUAUUAUUUGUCGAUUUUUCUGUCUUUCAAUUUUGUCUUUUUCUUUUUUUUUAAUGUUUUGAUUUUGUUUAUUUUGAUUUGUUUUAUUUUGUAUUUUUGAUUUGUUUUUAUUAAUUUUUGCAUGUUUCUUUUUUUGUUUUUUUUUUAAUUUCUUCUUGGUAAGAAUCUUGUUGAUGUUGCAGCGGUUGAGAAAUAUGUGUACACUUAUGUGGAUAUAAAUAAUUUCAUUUUUUCAGUAUAUGCAUGUUUAUUUUUAAGUACAUGUAUAAAUAGGAUGUUGUCAUUUUUUAUUUUAGUAUUCUAUAGUUUUAUUGGUGUGUUAUCAGAUAAUAAAAUUCUAAUUACAUUUA